rnacentral:rRNA from 1 species
GUGGGGAAUCUUGCGCAAUGGGCGAAAGCCUGACGCAGCCAUGCCGUGUGAAUGAUGAAGGUCUUAGGAUUGUAAAAUUCUUUCACCGGGGACGAUAAUGACGGUACCCGGAGAAGAAGCUCCGGCUAACUUCGUGCCAGCAGCCGCGGUAAUACGAAGGGGGCUAGCGUUGCUCGGAAUUACUGGGCGUAAAGGGCGCGUAGGCGGACAGCUUAGUCAGAGGUGAAAGCCCAGGGCUCAACCUUGGAAUUGCGUUUGAUACUGGCUGUCUUGAGUUUGGGAGAGGUGAGUGGAACUCCGAGUGUAGAGGUGAAAUUCGUAGAUAUUCGGAAGAACACCAGUGGCGAAGGCGACUCACUGGCCCAAUACUGACGCUGAGGCGCGAAAGCGUGGGGAGCAAACAGGAUUAGAAACCCUGGUAGUCC